rfam:Myotis brandtii contig266079, whole genome shotgun sequence.
GGCAGUUCUUGAGUGAUUCACCCCAGAAUCAGGCUCCCUUCUCUCUGGUUCCAGGUGCAUCACACAGCUGCC